GAAGGGUGCAAGCGUUACUCGGAAUUACUGGGCGUAAAGCGUGCGUAGGUGGUUCGUUAAGUCCGAUGUGAAAGCCCUGGGCUCAACCUGGGAAUGGCAUUGGAUACUGGCGGGCUAGAGUGCGGUAGAGGGGUGCGGAAUUCCCGGUGUAGCAGUGAAAUGCGUAGAGAUCGGGAGGAACAUCCGUGGCGAAGGCGGCACCCUGGACCAGCACUGACACUGAGGCACGAAAGCGUGGGGAGCAAACAGGAUUAGAUACCCUGGUAGUCCACGCCCUAAACGAUGCGAACUGGAUGUUGGGUGCAACUAGGCACUCAGUAUCGAAGCUAACGCGUUAAGUUCGCCGCCUGGGGAGUACGGUCGCAAGACUGAA
rnacentral:rRNA from 1 species